rnacentral:rRNA from 1 species
AUGCCGCCCCAGGUCGUUCACAGCCGCUACCCUAGUCCGUUCACCACUGCCAAUCAAUGCCGUUCAAUGAGGGGGCGUUCAACAAAAGCAAUGGUUGAAGUUAAAACAAGAUGCACAAGUUCAUCUUUUGUAUGCUUUUCAGUUCAUCUACUUCCCGAUGCAAGAGGGAGAUUGGCGGCGACAACCUCUCAUCUCUUUCUCUCUCAAAGACAGCAAGAGAAAAAAGGGAGAUUCACAAGUCGUUGCCGUCCACAUCAUAGCCACAAGGAAACACCAGCAUCGCUGCCAGCUACACGCACAUCUUUGACACAACCAGCUUCUAAAGUUGUGCCGCGUGGACACGUCCCACUCCAACGGCAUGGCUUAUGCUUCAGUGGCAAACAGUGGAGCCUGCUGGAGGAGUCAUGGGGUCGAGGACCUCCUGCUCAACAGUACAACUUCUUGUUUUGUGGCCGGUCACUCAAGGAGCUGAGUGCAGGCCGCAGUAAGUACAUGAUUACUAAUAUUAGGAUAUGUAUGGUCCCAGAAAAAACAUUUGUCGGGUUUUUGGUGGCCAAGUAUUAUUGA